GUGUUUGCUUCAGCAGCACAUAUACUAAAAUUAGAAUGAUACACAGAAGAUUAGUAUGGCGCCUGUGCAAGGAUGACAUGCAAAUUCGUGAAGUGUUCCAGAAAAUU
ensembl:snRNA U6 U6 spliceosomal RNA